UACGUAGGGGGCAAGCGUUGUCCGGAUUUAUUGGGCGUAAAGAGCGUGUAGGCGGCCAGGUAGGUCUGCUGUGAAAACUCGAGGCUUAACCUCGAGCUGUCGGCGGAAACCAUCUGGCUAGAGUCCGGAAGAGGAGAAUGGAAUUCCCGGUGUAGCGGUGAAAUGCGCAGAUAUCGGGAAGGAACACCCAGUGGCGAAGGCG
rnacentral:rRNA from 1 species